GGUGAGCCGCACUGCAGUUCGUACCAUCCAUAUCCGCUGCGCGACGCGUCCGUCGGACGCGUGUGGUACGAGUAAUAAAAAUUUACAGGAUCUGAGAGGAGGAGGAGGCUUGGGAAAGGCAUCUGGCCUCAGCGGAGCAACCUUGGGUAUCACCGCAGCUUCGUGGCUGAUCAACUCCGCUCGUUGCGCAUCGGGUCGGUGAGUCACAAAUUAAUUUUUUUAUUAUAUUUAUAUUUCAAUGUCUUGCAAAUUACUUGUGUAUGUGU